rnacentral:lncRNA from 10 species
GAUGAUUAUAGUUACACUGAGAGGAUUAAGAUUUCAGGAAAGUGAUAAACAGCAGGGACAGAAUAAGGUCCUUUUUUUGUUGUUGUUUCCCAAGGAUUAUUAGCUUGAAAGUUAAUAUCAUAUAUGGGCUGUGGCUUAUUGUCCUAUGAGAAAUAGAAGAACCAGCAAUAGAAGAGACCCAGAUCAAGUUUGACUGAAAGGCAAACACCAUUCCCAACUGGCUUUACCAUCUGUCUUUCCACAGAGACAACUCACAGGCUAUAAAGUGCUUAACAUUUCCUUGGCUUCAGAAGGCACUAGGGAAGGAGACUCUGGUGGACCACAAGUGAUGGAAGGCUUGGAAAGUGACACUGUGGCGGAGGGGAUACUAUUGUACAUUUUUACUUGUUAUCUCAUUGUGCAGGAGUGUGUUUUAUUAUCAUUUUUGUUAUCGUUAUAUAGUGUGUGCAUGUGUAUAUGAGGUUAAUUUAUUAUUUUUAUUUUAUUUUGCACAGGCU